rnacentral:rRNA from 1 species
GACGAACGCUGGCGGCGUGCCUAAUACAUGCAAGUCGAGCGAAGUUUUUCUGGUGCUUGCACUAGAAAACCUUAGCGGCGAACGGGUGAGUAACACGUAAAGAACCUGCCUCAUAGACGGGGACAACUAUUGGAAACGAUAGCUAAUACCGGAUAACAGCAUAAAUCGCAUGAUAUAUGUUUAAAAGUUGGUUUCGGCUAACACUAUGAGAUGGCUUUGCGGUGCAUUAGCUAGUUGGUGGGGUAAAGGCCUACCAAGGCGACGAUGCAUAGCCGACCUGAGAGGGUGAUCGGCCGCACUGGGACUGAGACACGGCCCAGACUCCUACGGGAGGCAGCAGUAGGGAAUCUUCCGCAGUGGGCGAAAGCCUGACGGAGCAACGCCGCGUGAGUGAAGAAGGAUUUCGGUUCGUAAAGCUCUGUUGUUAGGGAAGAAUGAUUGUAUAGUAACUAUAUACAGUAGAGACGGUACCUAACCAGAAAGCCACG